rnacentral:rRNA from 1 species
AACCAACAGGGAUUGCCCUAGUAACGGCGAGUGAAGCGGCAACAGCUCAAAUUUGAAAUCUGGCCCCCGGGUCCGAGUUGUAAUUUGUAGAGGAUGCUUUUGGCGAGGUGCCUUCCGAGUUCCCUGGAACGGGACGCCAUAGAGGGUGAGAGCCCCGUCUGGUCGGACACCGAGCCUCUGUAAAGCUCCUUCGACGAGUCGAGUAGUUUGGGAAUGCUGCUCAAAAUGGGAGGUAUAUGUCUUCUAAAGCUAAAUAUUGGCCAGAGACCGAUAGCGCACAAGUAGAGUGAUCGAAAGAUGAAAAGCACUUUGAAAAGAGGGUUAAAAAGUACGUGAAAUUGUUGAAAGGGAAGCGCCUAUGACCAGACUUGGGCCCGGUGAAUCACCCAGCGUUCUCGCUGGUGCACUUCGCCGGGCACAGGCCAGCAUCAGUUUGGCGCGGGGGAGAAAGGCUUCGGGAAUGUGCCUCCCCUGGGAGUGUUAUAGCACGUUGCGCAAUACCCUGCGCUGGACUGAGGUACGCGCAUUCGCAAGGAUGCUGGCGUAAUGGUCAUCAGCGACCCGUCUUGAAACACGGACCAAGGAGUCGUCUUCGUAUGCGAGUGUUCGGGUGUCAAACCCCUACGCGUAAUGAAAGUGAACGCAGGUGAGAGCUUCGGCGCAUCAUCGACCGAUCCUGAUGUUCUCGGAUGGAUUUGAGUAAGAGCAUACGGGGCCGGACCCGAAAGAAGGUGAACUAUGCCUGUAUAGGGUGAAGCCAGAGGAAACUCUGGUGGAGGCUCGCAGCGGUUCUGACGUGCGAAUCGAUCGUCAAAUAUGGGCAUGGGGGCGAAAGACUAAUCGAAC